UACGGGGGGGGCAAGCGUUGUUCGGAAUUACUGGGCGUAAAGGGCUCGUAGGCGGCCAACUAAGUCAGACGUGAAAUCCCUCGGCUUAACCGGGGGAACUGCGUCUGAUACUGGAUGGCUUGAAUCCGGGAGAGGGAUGCGGAAUUCCAGGUGUAGCGGUGAAAUGCGUAGAUAUCUGGAGGAACACCGGUGGCGAAGGCGGCAUCCUGGGACCGGCAUUGACGCUGAGGAGCGAAAGCCAGGGGAGCAAACGGG
rnacentral:rRNA from 1 species